UACGGAGGAGGCAAGCGUUAUCCGGAAUUAUUGGGCGUAAAGCGUCCGUAGGUGGUUCACCAAGUCUGCUGUCAAAGGGUGGGGCUUAACCUCAUAAAGGCAGUGGAAACUGGUGAGCUAGAGUGCGGUAGGGGUAAGGGGAAUUCCCAGUGUAGCGGUGAAAUGCGUAGAGAUUGGGAAGAACAUCGGUGGCGAAAGCGCCUUACGGGGCCUGCACUGACACUGAGGGACGAAAGCUAGGGGAGCGAAAGGG
rnacentral:rRNA from 1 species